rnacentral:tRNA from 3 species
GCGGUAGUGGCGGAACUGGCAGACGCACCAGCUUGAGGGGCUGGCGGUAGCAAUACCGUGGAGGUUCGAGUCCUCUCUACCGCACCA